rnacentral:rRNA from 1 species
GAUGAACGCUGGCGGCGUGCCUAAUACAUGCAAGUCGAGCGAACAGACGAGGAGCUUGCUCCUCUGACGUUAGCGGCGGACGGGUGAGUAACACGUGGAUAACCUACCUAUAAGACUGGGAUAACUUCGGGAAACCGGAGCUAAUACCGGAUAAUAUAUUGAACCGCAUGGUUCAAUAGUGAAAGACGGUUUUGCUGUCACUUAUAGCUGGAUCCGCGCCGCAUUAGCUAGUUGGUAAGGUAACGGCUUACCAAGGCAACGAUGCGUAGCCGACCUGAGAGGGGUAUCGGCCACACUGGAACUGAGACACGGUCCAGACUCCUACGGGAGGCAGCAGUAGGGAAUCUUCCGCAGUGGGCGAAAGCCUGACGGAGCAACGCCGCGUGAGUGAUGAAGGUCUUCGGAUCGUAAAACUCUGUUAUUAGGGAAGAACAAAUGUGUAAGUAACUAUGCACGUCUUGACGGUACCUAAUCAGAAAGCCACGGCUAACUACGUG